CUAUGUGUUUAAAAGGAUAGAAGUUCUAGCCUAAGACACAUACCAAAGGAAGGUGAAAGCAAGCUGUUCAGCAAUCACCAGGGGUCGACUCUAGUUCUGAAGCCCAGCCACUGGACAGAGAGGUGUGGAAGGAAAUGAAAUUCACAUUCCUGAAAUGAAGAAAGGCCAAUUCAUCUCCACCUUUACCCUCUUCUGCCGGAAGGCAGGAGCCACGCCCAGCCUCUUAGGUAAUCAAACUGAGCACCUGGAUAAAGAAACCCCACCUCCCACGGUGCUGAUAAGGACCGGAAAUUGGCUUGUCAAAGUGACGCAGGAAAAUGGAGCCGGCAGUGCAAAGUGACUCCAGGAGUUACAGCCCCAUUUUCUGAUUUCCAGAGGAAUAAUCCAAACCUCUCCGAGAUUGAGGAACCUGCCUCAAGUAAUGGCUGGAAAGGAAGCUCAAGCCUAAAGG